GCGAGUGAAGCGGCAAAAGCUCAAAUUUGAAAUCUGGCCUCUGGUCCGAGUUGUAAUUUGAAGGUUGGGUGGUUUAAUGCCAGGGUUGUUAAGUCCAUUGGAACAUGGCGCCAGAGAGGGUGAUAGCCCCGUCUGCAACUGCUUGGUAUUAUCUAUACUGCCCUUCCAAAGAGUCGAGUUGUUUGGGAAUGCAGCUCUAAGUGGGUGGUAAAUUCCAUCUAAAGCUAAAUAUUGGCGAGAGACCGAUAGCGAACAAGUACAGUGAUGGAAAGAUGAAAAGCACUUUGAAAAGAGAGUGAAACAGUACGUGAAAUUGUUGAAAGGGAAGGGCUUGCAAGCAGACACAAUCUUCGGAUUGGGCCAGCAUCGGUUGACAAGGGGUGGAAAAGGCCUUGGGGAAUGUAGCUUCUUUUCUUUCGAAUUGAAGUGUUAUAGACCCAGGGAGAUACACCCACUUUCGACCGAGGCCUGCGAUUCUUCUAGGAUGCUGGCGUAAUGGUUGCAAGUCGCCC
rnacentral:rRNA from 1 species